UACGUAGGGUCCAAGCGUUAUCCGGAAUCACUGGGCGUAAAGCGUGCGUAGGCGGGUGUUUAAGUGCGAUGCGAAAUCCUGUGGCUCAACCAUAUGGACUGUAUCGCAUACUGGAUGCCUAGAGAAUGGCAGAGGCAAGUGGAAUUACUGGUGUAGCAGUGAAAUGCGUAGAUAUCAGGAGGAACACCGAUGGCGAAGGCAGAUCUCUGGGCCGUAACUGACGCUGAGGAGCGAAAGCGUGGGGAGCGAACAGG
rnacentral:rRNA from 1 species